CGUGCCACGAAGGGUGUGACACAUUCCAGCCUGGGUGGCACCCCUGUCCCUGUGUGGGGACACGACCCCCAGCAUUCAUGGGGACUGGGGACCUCACGCUCAUCCUUCCUGCCUCUAUUUCUGGGGGCAUCUUUCUCGCCUCCUGAGCGUGGCUCAUCCCCUGGCCUCUGUGCUGCUGUGGGGUCUCCCAUCCCUGCCUCUCCGACCCCCCUCUGUCUCCUUCCCAGCUCCUCCUCCUCUGCCCACCCUGUCCCUGGGGUACCUCUGGCCUCCUUUCGCCAUCUCCCUGGACACGCCAAGGACCUGCCCCUCCGCCCCCAGCGCCGACUGCGGCCUGGAGCCUUGGAUCCAGCACCUGCCUCUGGGAUGUUCCCCGGAGGCCCAGCUGAGACCCGGACCUGCCCCCCCGUCCUCCUCACUCUUCACGCAGCCGGGGGUCCAAAGGCUGCAGGACCCAAGCUCUGGAACCUUCCCACGAGCCUGCUGAGCGGGGCCCUUUGCCCCGGGGGCCCUGGCUCUGAGUUCGGGCUCCACCUCCCAGGCCCCUUCCACCACCCACGUGGCUGGCUGAGCGCCCAUCCACCUGCCCUGUGCCGCGGGCGGGGGGCUUUCAGGAGGCCCGGCUGUGCCCCAACAAUGCUGCUUUGUGCCAAGAGGGACCCAGAGCCUUGUAAAGGAGGAGCCCCUGCCACCAUCUCCCCAGUUUUGGAGGCACUUCGGGGGAGCAGGAGUUCCCAGGAUUCUUGAGGGCUGUCUGCAGCCCCUG
rnacentral:lncRNA from 1 species